UACGGAGGGUGCAAGCGUUAUCCGGAUUUACUGGGUUUAAAGGGUGCGUAGGUGGGUCUGUAAGUCAGUGGUGAAAUCUCCGGGCUUAACCCGGAAACUGCCAUUGAUACUAUAGGUCUUGAAUUAUCUGGAGGUGAGCGGAAUAUGUCAUGUAGCGGUGAAAUGCUUAGAUAUGACGCAGAACACCAAUUGCGAAGGCAGCUUGCUACACUGUUAUUGACACUGAGGCACGAAAGCGUGGGGAUCAAACAGG
rnacentral:rRNA from 1 species